rnacentral:lncRNA from 1 species
UUGGAUCUUUAUGAAUGAUGAAAUAAAAUACAAUUCAUAUACCAGUCCCACAUCCUUUUCUGGUGCAAUUCAUAAUGAGAAAUUGAGGCAAUCUGUAACGUACAUAUUAUUACACAACAGGUGUAUGUGCAGUUCUGCAUCUAAACCAGACAGAAUGCAUAUCAUUUUCUUUACAGCAUUGAUGAAUUUGUCGAUGCGUCCAUACUGCCAUGACUAUCUGGUAUGGGUAUGGCACCCAUACCCGUACAAGUUCCAUACUGGGAAACAAAUGAUCUGUCUUCUGGUGAUGCUGCAGCCCACCAACCUGCAUAAUACAAAAACAAAAUGACUAAUUCAACUGAAAGAAAAAAAAAACUAAACACAAAAGGAAAAGUAAACCACUAUUUACAGGAUCUCAGAUUAGGCUCUAUUAACCAAAUCCAACCUCUCGUCACCUAUUUUUGUCCCGAUACAGAGCCCUCAAAAGGAAAGGAAAAUAGAAGGCUUGAUGUCGAUCCAGAAUUCCAGAUAAAAACACAAACUGCAUACUACAACUGCCAUAACUUCGAUUCCUAGCACAAACCCCAUGUUACAACUUGCGACUUUGAUUUUGGCGGCAACAAAUCUCGCUGUGGACCUGUGCUGACCAUAUUCCGAUUUGUUUCUCACCUAAGACCAUUGAGAUUAGCAGUUUUACCUGGAGGGGAGACCACGGAUUCAACAGGAGGUGGGAAGGCAACUUGGGGCUUCAUUGCAGCACCCCACCAAGGAGCACUAGCAGAUGGAGAUUGAGACGAUGGAUGAGCGAUCUCCCUGCCCGCUUUGAAUCGGUGGCUCAUCACUUGUAAAGAUUUGGGAUGCGUUUCAGGGGGGAAGCUACUAGGUACAAAACUACACAUGGAUUUAGAUUGCUUGGGUGCCGUAGGGAAAGAGGACGAGAGGGAUUGGCGCCUGGGUGUCGCGGGAACCUUGGCGUGUGGGUGUCGUGGACUCGUGGGAAACUAGGGAUGAUUUGGCGCGCUGAAGACGCGGUUCGCGCGCGGAAGAUGAAUGGGGCGGGGGAAACUGAAGGAGCGCGCGAGGGAGCACUCGUGAAAACUCUUUGCGAAGCGGCAGUGCAUUUACAUGUAUUCCAAAAUUGUAUUUGCCGAAAUCAUGAAAAAUCCCCAGCAAUUAUAUUAGCGCACA